UACGGGGGGGGGCAAGCGUUGUUCGGAAUUACUGGGCGUAAAGGCUCGUAGGCGGCCAACUAAGUCGGAUGUGAAAUCCCCAAGCUUAACUUGGGAACUGCAUCCGAUACUGGAUGGCUUGAAUCCGGGAGAGGGAUGCAGAAUUCCAGGUGUAGCGGUGAAAUGCGUAGAUAUCUGGAGGAACACCGGUGGCGAAGGCGGCAUCCUGGACCGGUAUUGACGCUGAGGCGCGAAAGCCAGGGGAGCAAACGGG
rnacentral:rRNA from 1 species